GUGGGGUUAAUUAAUGAUAUUAGGUUUUAUAGAACAGUUUUUACAGCUAUAGGAAAUGUGUGCAAAGCCAGAUUUAUAUCUCAAAUGUCUGCUCAGCCAAUAUCACAAUAUUAUAUGAAUCUUUAACAAUUACGCUAUCACCUCUCCCUAUACAACCAAGCUUGCUGCUAACAUUUACUGCUGCUCUAUUACAUUGUCUUCCUACCUUUAAGUCAUCUGCCAAAAUUACUCAUAAAUCCAUUUCCUCAGAUGUUGAGGUUAGGACUCUAUCAAAUAGUGUAUACUCUGCCCUUGUGUUUUUCUAAGAUGCAUUAUCUUGCACUUAUUCACAUUAAAUGUCAGUUGCCACAGCUCUGACCAUUUUUCUAGUUUACCAAAAUCAUUUGCCAUUUGGCU